AGACAAUGUCCUUUUGUAUCAGUCCUAUGGAUCAUAAUCUUUCCAUUUUGAAUACUGUGUUAAAUAUCUAAAUGCACACCAUUUUAAUGAAAAAAUUUUUAAACAGCUUUGUAACCUUGCAAAAUAUUUUUUUUUUUUUACAUUCAUACACGAAACAUACAGAUAUGGAAUGACCAGCAUUCACAAUUAUAGGUACUUAGGGUGCAAUACCGUCUUUCCCCAAACAACACAGAAUGACUAGCAUUCACAAUUAUAGGUACUUAGGGUGCAAUACCGUCUUUCCCCAAACAACACAAAAUGACUAGCAUUCACAAUUAUAGGUACUUAGGGUGCAAUACCGUCUUUCCCCAAACAACACAAAAUGACUAGCAUUCACAAUUAUAGGUACUUAGGGUGCAAUACCGUCUUUCCCCAAACAACACCAAAUGACUAGCAUUCACAAUUAUAGGUACUUAGGGUGCAAUACCGUCUUUCCCCAAACAACACCAAAUGACCAGCAUUCACAAUUAUAGGUACUUAGGGUGCAAUACCGUCUUUCCCCAAACAACACAAAAUGACCAGCAUUCACAAUUAUAGGUACUUAGGGUGCAAUACCGUCUUUCCCCAAACAACACCAAAUGACCAGCAUUCACAAUUAUAGGUACUUAGGGUGCAAUACCGUCUUUCCCCAAACAACACCAAAUGACCAGCAUUCACAAUUAUAGGUACUUAGGGUGCAAUACCGUCUUUCCCCAAACAACACCAAAUGACUAGCAUUCACAAUUAUAGGUACUUAGGGUGCAAUACCGUCUUUCCCCAAACAACACCAAAUGACUAGCAUUCACAAUUAUAGGUACUUAGGGUGCAAUACCGUCUUUCCCCAAACAACACAAAAUGACUAGCAUUCACAAUUAUAGGUACUUAGGGUGCAAUACCGUCUUUCCCCAAACAACACAGAAUGACUAGCAUUCACAAUUACAGAAUCAGUAGUCUUUUUGCAGGAAGAAAAUCACCAACAGUGACAUUUAGAAUAUUUUACAUUUAACGUUGACUUGCACAUUCUCUUUUGUCAAAAUUUGUUUCAACUGAUUUUCAACAAGAAAAAAUUAGUCAAGAAUUUAUAUCCUUGAAGUUAGUACCUUUUGAUCUUAUUUCAUCAAAUAGGCUCUGCUGAAAAUGAUAAAUGUAGCUGUGUGUAUAUUUAAAAACAAAAAUAUGUUAAGGGAAAAAAAAGGUUAAUUAAA